CACAUGGCAAUGCAUUGAAUCCUUAUAACAUACCCUUGAUGCAGAGCCUAUUAUUGGCAUCAUCUCCCCAUUUUACAGAUGAUGAAACUGAGGCCCAGAGAAGUUGAGAUGCCUGACCGUCAUCCACUAGAAAGUGGCAGAGCUGGGAUUGGAAUGCAGGCUGUCUGGCACUCAGCUGUGUGCCUUCAAUACGCCACCAGGCCAACCUUUGCUGCAGAUCUAAAGCUUGAUGCUAUCCCCAGGGAGAAGCCAAGCCCAGUCUUCUUGCAGCUUUACAGGAUGCACUGAGCAUGAUCCUUGGAUUUCCAACCUGCUGUUGCAACUUCCUAUCAGAGCUCCUCUUGCCAGGAACAAAGCGACAGCCGUCUGCUGGUGAGCUGGGCUAAUCCUGUUAAACAAUUCACAGAUCUGACGCCGGACACGCUUUUUGAAACCUGAGGGAAAGGAGAUACAGUCAUGGAGGGAAGAUGGCCAUGUGAAGAAGGCAGAGAUUGGAGUGUUGUUGCCACAAGCUGAGGAAUGUCUGGAGCUGCAGGAGCCCGGAGGAAGCCGGGAAGCAUCCUUCCCUAGUGCCUGCAGAGGGAGCCUGGCCAGCCGACACAUUGAUUUCUGACUUCUGGCCUCCAGAGCUGCGAGCUACUCAGUUUCUGUUGUUUUCAGCCACCCAGUUGUGGUGACUUGCUGCGGUAGCCCCCAGAGACCAGGACGCCAGCCCAGGGAUGAGGGUGCUGGUCCUGGGGGUGUCAAUGCACUGGCACAUCCCGCUUGACCCUGGAGUGGCCAGAGAAAGCCCUGGGCAGAGGUGUGGGCAGAGGUGGCAGGUGUGGGCAGAGGUGGCAGGUGCUGGCAGAGGUGGCAGGUGUUGCGGGAAGUCAGGGACCCCGAACGGAGGGAUGGGCUGAAGCCGUGGCAGAAGAACAUAAAUUGUGAAGAUUUCAUGGACAUUUAUUAGUUCCCCAAAUUAAUACUUUUAUAAUUUCUUACGCCUGUCUUUACUGCAAUCUCUGAAUAUAAAUUGUGAAGAUUUCAUGGACACUUAUCACUUCCCCAGUCAAUACUCUUGUGAUUUCCUAUGCCUGUCUUUGCUUUAACCUCUUAAUUCCGUCAUUUUCAUAAGCUGAGGACGUAUGUCACCUUAGGACCCUGUGAUGAUUGCAUUAACUGCACAAAUUGUUUAAACAAUUUGAAAUCUGGGCAUCUUGAAAAAAGAACAGGGUAAGAGCGAUGUUCAGGGAACAAGGGAGGUAACCUUAAAGUCUGGCUGCCUGUGGGCUGGGUGGGACAGAGCCAUAUUUCUCUUAUUACUGAAAACGGGUAAGAGAAAUAUCGCUGAAUUCUUUCCCCAGUGAGGAAUAUUAAUAAUUAACAGCCCUGGGAAAAGAAUGCAUUCCCAGGGUGGGGCCUCUGAAAUGGCCGCUCUGGGGGUGUCUGCCUUAUGCAGAUGUAGAUAGGGAUGAAACAUGCCCUAGUCUCCGGCAGCGCCCCCAGGCUUGCUAGGAUUAGGAAAUUCCAGCCUGGCAAAUUCUAGUCAGACCUGUUUUCUGCUCUUGAACCCUGACAAUGCGUGCACAGCGGGACAUGGAAGUUCAUUAGUGGAUUCUAGUUUCGCCCUGACCUUCUGCCUUGUGAUCUUUUGUCGCCCUUGAAGCAUGUGAUCCCUGUGACCCACACCGUAUCCGUGCACUCCCUCCCCUUUUGAAAAUCACUAAUAAAAACUUGCUGGUUUUGCGGCUUGUGGGGCAUCACGGAACCUGCCGACAUGUGAUGUCUCCCCCGGAUGCCCAGCUUUAAAAUUUCUCUCUUUUGUACUCUGUC
rnacentral:lncRNA from 1 species